rnacentral:rRNA from 1 species
ACUCCUACGGGAGGCAGCAGUAGGGAAUCUUCCACAAUGGACGAAAGUCUGAUGGAGCAACGCCGCGUGAGUGAAGAAGGUUUUCGGAUCGUAAAACUCUGUUGUUGAAGAAGAACAUGCGUGAGAGUAACUGUUCAUGUAUUGACGGUAUUCAACCAGAAAGCCACGGCUAACUACGUGCCAGCAGCCGCGGUAAUAAACGGAGCCACACGCCGCGGUAAUA